GAAACAUAUCAUGGAUUGUGUUUUGAAUAGUUGUCUAAAACACAGGAUGCAUUUUUGGGGGUGAAAAUUCACGAAAUUUGAAGACGCAUAACUCUCCUACAUUAACUACAAUUGUGACUGUAAAAGGCAUGGUAAAGGUAACAGAAACUGCAUUAUUUGUACAAGAUGCAUCAUCCAUCAACUUUUGGUAUAAAUUUGACCACAGACUCUCGCACUCCGUCUCGUCCUGCCGGUCCGUGUAGUUGUAGCAGUUAGCGUUGUUGGAGAAGGAGCUCCCCAGAUUGACCGAGUGUUUGGCGUUAAAGGUCGGCUUGGAACCUUUGUUCAGCAUCGUCGCGUGAUUACCGUUACUUUCUCCCUUGCCUCGUGACAAAAGGAUCAAUACAGGACAAUGUACAUGGCUAGAAGAAUAUCAUCGGCUAUCUAAGCUCUAAAACGUAAUGAACAACCUCCGGAUUUUCACCUUGCUUCCGAACAAAAACGUGAGAGUAACGGU